rnacentral:lncRNA from 1 species
AUCAAAUUAGAUGGCGUCAAAUCCUCAACCAAACCAUCCAUAUCAUAGACCCACAGUUAUUGCUACCAAUCCCUAAUUCUGUGGUAUUCAAUCACCUACAAAAUCGCCUUCAACAAAUUUGGAAUGCACUCUGUCCCCCCAAGUUUCCGUCCCCGUCAUCCAUGAAGAAAGAAUUGUUGGUGAAGAAUGCACCCUCCGAGGGAGGAGGAGGAGUAGCCUAAUGAGGUGGAAGCAGUCAAAGAAACAUCACCACCGUCACCACCGGUAGAAGUUUCCAUCUAGGAAUCCCCUUUUUGGCCGAUGAAAUAAGCGAUGUAAUUCUCCUCAAUUUCCUCAAGAGUCAGAAAUUUCAAGGUCAAAGAAGCUAUGUCGAUUCUGGAAAGUGUUGUGGCUUGGACAAAAGAAUUCAUGUUGAUGAACUCUAGGAAGAAGAAACAUAUCGUGUGUUGUAAUACUACAGUCAUGUGAUUUCUUACCAUUAUGUUGUUUGUUCGAUGUAGGGAUCAAUGAUGACAAUCCCACAGCAACAAAUUAAGGAGUUGUGUUUAAAGGCAGUUAGUACAAUUCAAGUUGUGUAUCCUAAUGGAAGUCUAGCAUUGAAUUCUGAAGUAAAGGAAAAGGACAUGUUCUUUAUCUUGUGUUAUCUCCCAUUAUGCCAAAUUGCACCACAAACUAGCCGUUUUGAGUUCUUUGGCUUUUCCACCUCACCCUGCGAUAACAAGCCUCAAUUCUUUUGGGAGCAAACUCUAUUUCGUAAACACUAAGAAGGACAGAACUUGCAAAAGCUUUGGGACUGAGCGAUGAGAGAAUAAAGGAUAUCAUUGACUUUCAGUCGAAGUCUACAAUCUUUCCAUCAGCCACUGUUGCACCACCCGAUGUGAUUGUGGAGUGUAGGUGGAAGUGGGAAAGGCUAAGGAGGUAGCAAAGAUGAUCAUGACCUUCUGCAAUGACAAAUCUAUGGAUUUUGAUUAAUACGAAUGAGUAGGUGAUGCUGUAACUUAGUGUAAAAGCAAUGUAUAUUCGAAUUCUCUCAUUUUCGAGAUAGUACUUGCACAGAUAUGCAUAACAUGUAUCAUCCAGAGUGCAAUAUCAAACUCGAGAGGGAAUGUAUCUCUUUUUAUUAAUGGUGAUUGUUCUAAUGAUAAGGAAUAUUUGCAUCAUUAUAAAGAUUACAAAAAGUUAAAUAGAAU